rnacentral:rRNA from 1 species
GAUGAACGCUAGCGGCAGGCUUAAUACAUGCAAGUCGUGGGGCAGCAUGAAGUAGCAAUACUUUGAUGGCGACCGGCAAACGGGUGCGGAACACGUACACAACCUUCCUUUUAGUGGGGAAUAGCCCAGAGAAAUUUGGAUUAAUACCCCGUAACAUAGCGAUGAGGCAUCUCAUUGCUAUUAUAGCUUCGGCGCUAGAUGAUGGGUGUGCGUAUGAUUAGAUAGUUGGCGAGGUAACGGCUCACCAAGUCUACGAUCAUUAGCUGAUGUGAGAGCAUGAUCAGCCACACGGGCACUGAGACACGGGCCCGACUCCUACGGGAGGCAGCAGUAAGGAAUAUUGGUCAAUGGACGAAAGUCUGAACCAGCCAUGCCGCGUGAAGGAUUAAGGUCCUCUGGAUUGUAAACUUCUUUUAUAUGGGACGAAAAAAGGUCUUUCUAGAUCACUUGACGGUACCAUAUGAAUAAGCACCGGCUAACUCCGUGCCAGCAGCAGCCGCAGUAA